GAAGAAUCUGACCUGGCCUGACCUCAGCGCAACGCCUAUUGUGGUUCCGUCGGGAGAGAACUUGCACGAGAGGACGUCGCUGCCACAGUCUCUGCAAUGCAGUGAGAGGCUCGUGGACGGAGGCUGGUGAAGCUUCGUGAGCAGUGAAGCCAACGAAGCCCCUGAAGCCACGGAGGAAGCGAUGGACACCUUUCUCUUGCCAGUCGGAGAGCCGGGUCUGCGGAAGGGCGAAGGAGUGGGGAAUGCUCCCUCUACAACGCCACGCUGCCUUCACACUCACCCAGGGGCGGGGGACCGGUGGGAGGGCGCCGCCUUAGGGGUGGGCGAGGACCCCCCCUGCAGGGAGAGGCC